GACGAACGCUGGCGGCGUGCUUAACACAUGCAAGUCGAGCGGUAAGGCCCUUUCGGGGGUACACGAGCGGCGAACGGGUGAGUAACACGUGGGUGACCUGCCCUCAGCUCUGGGAUAAGCCUGGGAAACUGGGUCUAAUACCGGAUAUGACUCCAUGACGCAUGUUGUGGGGUGGAAAGCCUUGUGCGGCUGAGGAUGGGCCCGCGGCCUAUCAGCUUGUUGGUGGGGUGANGGCCUACCAAGGCGACGACGGGUAGCCGGCCUGAGAGGGCGACCGGCCACACUGGGACUGAGACACGGCCCAGACUCCUACGGGAGGCAGCAGUGGGGAAUCUUGCGCAAUGGGCGAAAGCCUGACGCAGCGAUGCCGCGUGAGGGAUGACGGCCU
rnacentral:rRNA from 1 species